rnacentral:lncRNA from 1 species
GAACCUCUGUGAUCAGUCGAGAACGAUCAACAUCAGGUAGGCACCCGCAUCUCUACAAUGAUGGAAAAUUGCUGGACUUAAGAUUAAUUAAGAAGAUUUAGGUCCAGAUCUCAUCCUUAAUUAGUCAUAUCAGAUAUGACUAACCUAGUGGCAUGGGUUAGCUCGAAUCAUUAGCAACCUAAGUCAAGACUUAAUCAACCAUAUUGGUCAAAUAAGUG